GCUCCUAUAGCUUAGCCCAAA
rnacentral:tRNA from 1 species